CCUACGGGAGGCAGCAGUGGGGAAUAUUGCACCAUGGGGGAAACCCUGAUGCAGCGACGCCGCGUGAGUGAAGAAGUAAUUCGUUACGUAAAGCCCUUUCAGCAGGGAAGAAAAUGACGGUACCUGAGUAAGAAGCCCCGGCUAACUCCGUGCCAGCAGCCGCGGUAAUACGUAGGGGGCAAGCGUUAUCCGGAUUUACUGGGUGUAAAGGGAGCGUAGACGGUGUGCCAAGUCUGGAGUGAAAUGCCGCAGCUUAACUGCGGAACUGCUUUUGAAACUGGCGAUCUAGAGUGCGGGAGAGGUAAGCGGAAUUCUUGGGGUAGCGGUAAAAUGCUUAGAUAUUAGGAGGAACACCGGUGGCGAAGGCGACUUACUGGACCGUAACUGACGUGGAGGCUCGAAAGCGUGGGGAGCAAACAGGAUUAGAUACCCUAGUAGUC
rnacentral:rRNA from 1 species